AUUGAACGCUGGCGGCAGGCCUAACACAUGCAAGUCGAGCGGAUGACGGGAGCUUGCUCCUUGAUUCAGCGGCGGACGGGUGAGUAAUGCCUAGGAAUCUGCCUGGUAGUGGGGGACGACGUUUCGAAAGGAACGCUAAUACCGCAUACGUCCUACGGGAGAAAGCAGGGGACCUUCGGGCCUUGCGCUAUCAGAUGAGCCUAGGUCGGAUUAGCUAGUUGGUGAGGUAAUGGCUCACCAAGGCGACGAUCCGUAACUGGUCUGAGAGGAUGAUCAGUCACACUGGAACUGAGACACGGUCCAGACUCCUACGGGAGGCAGCAGUGGGGAAUAUUGGACAAUGGGCGAAAGCCUGAUCCAGCCAUGCCGCGUGUGUGAAGAAGGUCUUCGGAUUGUAAAGCACUUUAAGUUGGGAGGAAGGGCAGUAAGCUAAUACCUUGCUGUUUUGACGUUACCGACAGAAUAUGCACCGGCUAACUCUGUGCCAGCCGCCGCAGUAAUAC
rnacentral:rRNA from 1 species